GUUAAAAGAAAGGAGAUAGCAAAUACCUGGGUUUUUUUCUUAGAGAGUCAUCAACUUGUGCUGUUGUUUCAAGGCUUAUUCUGUAGGCAUUUAGUUCUUCUGCACAAGAAGCAAGAUGACGCUUGACGAUGGAGCUAGACCCUUCAUCUACAGAACCAUUCAUUGCCACGGUAAGAGCAAUAUGAGCUAAAUCACUAUAUCGGACGCUUGAAGAUUCAUUGCAGUCAGAAAGUAUUGGAGCCCCUGAACUGUCUGUUAUAAAACCAUCUUUGGCAUGCGUAGACCACCUUUUUAGAAAAUACUGCGACGGAAUUUCCAAAAUUCUUCUUGAAAGAAGAACUCUCAGAGCGUGCACACAUAAAAUACCCGUAAACUUGAAACCAUUGCAACUGCUUUCUACUGUAUUCUCUUUUUUAUUGAACCAUACUUUCCGUUCUUUGUCAUUUUUUAACGAACUCACAAUCUCAACCUUAUGAACUGCAAUCUCAUCAUUCUCAUCUUCAAUUUUGUCAAGAUAACAACCAAAUUUUUUUAACUGUUUUUGAAAUAUACUGAAAACCUUCCGAGUAUACAUCUUCGCUGCCUCUCUUUCAAAACGCAAGAGAGAAAUAAAUACAGGUUUAGAAUGCUUACUUUGGUAAUCAGCUUGUAACUCUUUCUCCCUCCAGUCCAUCACCGCUUUCUUAUAUUGCAAUAUAAAAUCAUUAAUGCAUAGGGUGCGAUUUACAUAACCCUUGACAAAACUGUUCACAUUUUCACUCCUUUGAGUUGUUGUCAUGCCAGCGCAAAAAUAUUCUCUUCCAUACACAGGAGCCCAUUUUUCUCGUAAGGCAUACAGUUUUAUCAACCAAUCAUAGUCAGUAAGAGAAUAUUUUGUGAGCAUCGAUGUCCACAUGGAUUCAAAUUCUUCUUCAGUUUCAGCACUAUAAAGACAUUCCGCGUGUAAAGUCUUCAUUGGCUGCAUAAACAUGAGACAGAUGCCUUGCCGCAUUCUGAAAAAUAUGCCAUAAGCAUAAACGAUGGUGUGUGUCUGGCAUUACCUCUUUUACAGCAUUGCCAAUCGCUUGUGCCUGAUCGGUAAAUAUGGUCUUUGGAUGCUUUCCCGACAUUGCACUUAAAAAUGAUUGAAAAGCCCACACAAAUGAUUCAGCAGAUUCAUCGACAAGUAAGGCCAUCCCGAAUAAGACAGACAUCCCGUGGUGAUUCACACCUACAAAUGGAGCACAAGGCAUACCAUACUUAUUAGUACGAAAUGUGGUGUCGAAACAAACAACAUCAAACCCAUAAUCUAUCUUUGAUCUAGCAUCUGCCCAAAAUAGAUUACAAGCUCUGUUAUCAUUGCCAACUUGUACUUCAUAAGAAAAUGCUGGGUUCUCUUUUUUCAUAGCUUUAAAGUAGUUCAGAGCAACUUGAGCAUCA